ensembl:lncRNA
AUGUUAAUUUCCUGUCUUUUUGAUAUAUACCCAUCAGUGAGAUUGUUGGAUUCUAUGGUAGCUCUAUUUUUUGUUUUUUUUUCUUUUUUUAGGAACUUCCAAACUGUUGUUUAUAGUGGAUUUACUGAUUUACAUUCCUACCAACAGUGUAUGAGGACUCCCUUUUCUCUACAUCCUCCCCAGUCUUUGUUAUUGCCUGACCUUUGGAUAAAAGCCGUAUUAACUAAGUUGUCUCUCCCAAUAUGAACUGCAGAAAAAUGAGGUUUCCAGACAAGAUCACAUUUCUGCUUGCUCCAUGCUACGAUGGAAUCAAUCAAAGCAAAUAAUGCUGGGAAGGCUGAGAGAUAGCAAAGGAAUAUUGGUAAAUAUGGUCUUAUUCCAACAAACCAAAUAACCUAAGAGAACGAUUUGUGGAUCUGACAGGAGAUACUGCAAUUGAAUAUUAUUUUGCUGCAGCAGAAUUGUUGCUACUGCUGUCAGCACACAGCAGGUGGUUGGAAGUUGGCAACUUUUAUGAAAGCCAUUUAUAUUACAGUACAUUUUAUGUAAACAGUGGCAAUAUAAAGCUAAACUGUUCCAGGAAUGAGAUGCAAAUACUAGAAAUGGGUUUUCUUCAAUAAGAAUUUAGGCAAUUGUGCUUGAAUUAAAAUGAAGAAUAACUUUAAGACACCAUCGACAUUUUCUACACGUUUUGGCUUUAAGUACUACUCGCAAAGUCUUCACCACAUUUACACUGCUGGGAUUUCUGUUGACUUUGGUGAAUGUGCUAUUUUGGAGGCUGAAUAAGUCACAGAUUAAAUUCUUAACUGAUUAAUUAUGACAAAAUGUUUGCAAAUAUAUACUUUUUAAAAACCAGAGGGAACCAAUUUCUUCUUAGAAUAAUGCUACUCUCAUGUGCUUUCUCAUAAAUUUUCGUAAGGGAAAAUAUGAGCUAGAAUAUGCAUUAACACAACAGAAUUGCCUAUGGCCAUAAGAGAAUAUUGCACAUUUACUUAUGAUCACCUAUUUCAUCACAACAGAAAAAAAGACUGAACUUAUAUUCUCUGGAAAAGAAAUACUCAAAAUUUCUAAAACACAGUUGUUCACAUGGAAUGGUGUAUUCCACUAGCCCAAAAAUUUCUUUAGAAGGGAUUAUUCCAACAUCAUGUUGUGGUCUUUAAUUAAAUGAAAUCACAGUAAAAAGCACUUAAGGAGAGAAGGCUCAUCUGGGAUAAAGCAAAUAAAACAAAGAAAUGACUAUAAAAUGUGAAGGAGCGAAAUACAACAGGCAUUGCCCACUCAUAGCAUAGCCUACUGCAAACUCUAUUUGUCAAUUUUCAUGACAUCCUAUUAUACGCAGGUAUAUGAUUCCCCCACUUCCCAGGUUUCCUGAAGUUUAAGUGCCCAUUCAGAGUAUAGGGAAUGGCAGGGAUGGUCUGAUGAACACUGGCAUUUGUAAGCCCCAAGCAAAUCAGUCAGAAUGACUGACUAGCUUCAAGAUCUUCCCACUCAGUUCAUUUCUCAACACCUAUAGCAGUUGGGAAUUCUGAUCAGAAGACGCCUACCUACCAAACAAGGUAUUCUUGUUUUACUGAAUACAAUCCAAAAGUUCUGGAUUUUAAGAAAAUCAUUCUUAGCAUUAGAAUGACUGAUGACAUCAUAAAAUAUCUUUCUCACUUUGUCUCCCAUUAUUAGGAACCUAACUGUUUUUCUGUUUAGCCAUAAUUGUUUCUUCAUUAUCCUGGAAUAUCCUGUUUAUAACCCUGAGCUUACAAUUACAGUAUUACUCCUUCCUAGUAGAGCCUUCUCUACAUACGUCAACUUGAUCAAAUACUAUUUUUCCUUAUGACCUGAAUUAAUCUCCACAGGCUUCAUGAUACACUGAGAUCAGUAUAUUUUUUAGAAAAAAAAUACUUAAUGUCACCUAGGCAUCAAGCACUGCUAGAUGUAGGCAACACAAAGAGAAAUAAAUACUUAUGAUGGCAGUGGUGGCCCACGUGUAGCAGCUGCUGCAAACACACCAGUUGCAGUGGGAAAGGCGUGCCUGGGGUUGCCACUCAGUUGGGCAGGUGUGAGCUGGGAAAAUGAAGGGGCUCCACCCUUUAUCAAGUUUGGCAGGGUGGGAACCCUAUACUCCUGGGCUCAGCUGCAGUCGCCCAGUCACAGCUCUAGAUCCAGAUAUUUCUGCACUCUUGUAGGCCCAGCAAACCCUGCUUCCCGGGCAGGCUCAGACGUGACUGUUCCUGCUCUCUGGCCUCUCCUUGCUCCUUGCCCCCACUCUGAUUUUGGAGGAAAGUUGAAGUAAAGCCUGAGUGCUGUGGUGAACCUGCUGGGUGUGUGCAUGCUCAGGGUGGCGCUGACGCACCAACCCCCUAACCACCUUGGGCCACUCUGAAAUUCUGGGCACAAACAUGCACAAGAAAGAGGCCAGGGGGUACAGCUCCAUAUGGGCCUGCAGAUGCCUCUGGGUGCAAACAGCCUGGGUGCCAUGAAUGCCAUGUUGAUGGCGGGACGCAGACAUAUGAGCAUAAAGGGGCAGAUCCCAGUGAAAGCCCAUCUUUAAGCCAGAGACAGCUUGAAGCCUGCGCUGGGCUGCCAGUUCCAGUGGAGUCCUCAGCCUGGAGUGAGAGCUUAUGGUGCUUUUUUUUAGGCCUCUGGCUUCCCACCCAGUAACCAGUCAGCAUGAACUUCCUCCCUUCUGAAACCAAAAAGUCCCCCGGACUCAGCCAGACUUACACAGAUGUCAGGACUACCAGCUUCAGGAAGGAGCUCCCUACUGUGGGUCUUCUCUCUGCUGAGAGCUGCAUAUUUGUUGGGACAACCUGCCUGUGGAAAGGAGCUACCCACUAUGAGUGUCCUGAGAGCUGUUAUGUCAUUCAGUAGAGCUCCUCUCUGCCUUGCUCACCC